GCUGGCGGCAGGCCUAACACAUGCAAGUCGAGCGGUAGCACAGAGAAGCUUGCUUCUUGGGUGACGAGCGGCGGACGGGUGAGUAACGCGUAGGAAUCUACCUAAUGGUGGGGGAUAGCCCAGGGAAACUUGGAUUAAUACCGCAUAAGUCCUAAGGGAGAAAGCGGGGGAUCUUCGGACCUCGUGCCAUUAGAUGAGCCUGCGUAAGAUUAGCUAGUUGGUGAGGUAAGAGCUCACCAAGGCGACGAUCUUUAGCUGGUCUGAGAGGAUGAUCAGCCACACUGGGACUGAGACACGGCCCAGACUCCUACGGGAGGCAGCAGUGGGGAAUAUUGGACAAUGGGGGCAACCCUGAUCCAGCCAUGCCGCGUGUGUGAAGAAGGCCUUCGGGUUGUAAAGCACUUUCAGAUGUGAGGAAAGGUUGCAGAUUAAUACUCUGUAGCUGUGACGUUAACAUCAGAAGAAGGACCGGCUAACUCCGUGCCAGCAGCCGCGGUAAUACGGAGGGUCCGAGCGUUAAUCGGAAUUACUGGGCGUAAAGCGCGCGUA
rnacentral:rRNA from 1 species